rnacentral:lncRNA from 1 species
UAUUUCUUUUGCGUUCAUUUUCAAAUUCGCCGUGCAUAUAUUUUUGUGCAUGGCGCUUGAGAGGGCAUCACGUGACUAAAAACGACCAACCAACGACCUCGCUUCGGCCAUCUUGGCAUCUUCAUACUCAUCUUGGCCACCUUGCUUUGCCGUGGGUGGAUCGUUGUUUGUAUUAUUUGUGCUUUUUAAGAAUAUUUUUUUAAUUCGGAUACUUUUAUAAUAGCUUUAAUAGUAUUAUUAACAUAGUGAAUAAAAUGGUGUCCUGUUUUUAACGCAGUUGGAGUAGCAGAAACAAAUGUAGAUAAAAAAUCUGCAGGAAUAACGUUUCAAUUAUGACAGAAGCUCCAAACAAAUGACUGUGAAUGAAAAGCCCUAUUAAAAGCUUUCCAGAAGAUCCUGCGAAGAAGACAUGAAGUAUAGAUCAGAUUUGUUAAUAGAGGAGUAUGUUCAAAACACUUUUUAGAAAAAGAUAUUGACAGAACUUCACUUUCAUCUGUUCGUUUAAGAGACUGUGCUGUUCCAAUAGCUUAUGUCACACAGAAUCAGCUGAGAGAAGUGGUCUACAAAAAACCAGAAAGGAAACGGAAUAUGUGGCUACGAAAAGCAAAAGAAAGGUUUACAAAGCAAAUGUGACACAUUUUUUUAUAAUAUUUAGGAAUGUCAGUAAAUUACAUUAAA